GAUGAACGCUGGCGGCGUGCUUAACACAUGCAAGUCGAACGAAGCACUUUAUUUGAUUUCCUUCGGGACUGAUUAUUUUGUGACUGAGUGGCGGACGGGUGAGUAACGCGUGGGUAACCUGCCUUGUACAGGGGGAUAACAGUUGGAAACGGCUGCUAAUACCGCAUAAGCGCACAGCAUCGCAUGAUGCAGUGUGAAAAACUCCGGUGGUAUAAGAUGGACCCGCGUUGGAUUAGCUAGUUGGUGAGGUAACGGCCCACCAAGGCGACGAUCCAUAGCCGACCUGAGAGGGUGACCGGCCACAUUGGGACUGAGACACGGCCCAAACUCCUACGGGAAGCAGCAGUGGGGAAUAUUGCACAAUGGGCGAAAGCCUGAUGCAGCGACGCCGCGUGAGCGAAGAAGUAUUUCGGUAUGUAAAGCUCUAUCAGCAGGGAAGAUAAUGACGGUACCUGACUGAGAAGCACCGGCUAAAUACGUG
rnacentral:rRNA from 1 species